CCCGCGUCACCCACAACACUCACUCCACUCACCCUCUCUUCUUCCUGUCACCCUCACUCUCGUCGCCCUCUCUUCUCCCCACCACCUCGCCCACCUCGCCGGUCACCACCUCGCCCACCUCGCCGGCCACCAUCUCUCCUCGUCGCCGCCAUGUUUCUCCCGCCUCCACUCACACCCGUCGUCCACUCGCACCUCGCUCCACUCACACCCAACAUCCGAGGUCAAGCUUUGAUGUGCCUGCUCUGGAUCUGGCGACGGAGGCGGUGGAUGCGGGAGAUGGGGAGGAGGCCAUCGCGGUGGUGUGCCUGGACCACAUCCUCAAGCACGCCAGUGGCGCCACGGAGGAGGCCGAGCGCAUCCGCCACUGCCACAACACCGACGGCUCCAUGGAGUACUGGCUCGAGCCGGACGAGCUCGCGGCCCUGCGCCGGGAGGUCGGCGCCGACCCGUACUGGGUGCCGCCAGGGUGGAAGCGCGGAGACCCCGUGUCCGCUGAUUGCUACGCGCUCAAUGCAAAGAUGCAGGUGGAGGAGCACAGCAAGGAGCUCGCCGGAGUAAAAAGGACUCUUUUUCCCCUUCUCCUGUCAUCUUCUCUUGCUCUGCUUGCUUGCUUGGAGCAGUAGACCUUGUAGACAUUUGUGCAAGCAGUAGCAGACAGAUUUGUGCAAGAUUGCUGCUCUUCUCUUCUCUUCUUGUUCUUGGAGCAAGCAGCAGCAGAUGGAUUUGUCCAAGUAGACUUCAACAAACAGAUUGGAGCAGACAUGUUUAGCAGGCAAAUUGUUUGGUGUUUGCUUGCUUUAGACAGACAGGUUUAGCACACAUGCUUGCAUUGCAGACAAACAGGUUGUGCAAGAACACCGCAAAAGCAAGUAGACCUGCUUGCAGUAGCUCUUAGGUGAAUUUUAGGUGAAGUACAGACCGGUUCAAAUCCUUUUAAAUUUUUGUAGUACUGCCUAAUGAUUGUGCUGAAUUUUGAAGUGCAGACAAAGCAAGCAAAAAUCAACUGAAGAUUAACUGCAGUAGUCACAUUAGUUCUUGCAGUAGUCAGAUUCAGUAGUUCUUGCAGUAGUCAGAUUCAGUAGCCGGAGUACUUGCAAUAGUUCUUUGAUCAACACCAUCAGAACAGUAAUCGCACCAUCCAGCUCAACACAUUCAGUCCAAAUUGCAGAGUAGUACUGUAAUUUAAGUGUAGGAUCAACGAAAGAGUACUGUGAUACACAUGCCCAAAUUUUUGUCUGGCAUAAUUAUACACAUGGGAAAGCCCAAUUAAUCAGCAACAAUCAUUUCAUUUAAUCUUCUGGCAUAAUUAUUCUGGUGUACUCCAGUUAAUCUUCUGGCAUAAUUAUUCUGGUGUACUCCAUGUUUUACUGUGAUACACAUGGAGUAAUUUUCAUACACUGGAACAUAAUUUUCCAGACAGAAAAUCAUAAUGUUUCAGUUGAACAAAAAAUCAUUUCAGACAGAAAAUUAUCACCAAUUAGGCUGAACUAAUUUUCUAGUUAAUUUCCUCCUCAUCUCCAGUCACCAAUUAGGCUGGUGAAUCUUCCACUAUUUUGGUGUUGCACAUUUGCUUAGUGGUGCUUGUAUCUCAUGCUUAGUGUUGCAUGAGUAGUUUCAGUAGUUUUACAGCAGCAGUACUCUUUCCAAUUGGCAAGUUUCAGUAGCAGAAAUUUAAUUGAGUAGUAUUAAAAUUUCCAGAUUAAAGAAUUUGGAGUAGGACUUGAUGCUAUGAGUAAUUUGGAGUAAAUUUAGAUUAAAGAAUUUGGAGUAGCACUGUAAUAAUUGUGCAGCUCAGGAGUAUUCUUGCCAAUUCAGUUAAUUAAAUUUCAUUUAACUAAAACUAAAUGAAUCUUUUUCCUUUAUGUAAAACUAAGUGAAUUUUUUUCUAUUAAUUUAACAGUUGCAGUAGUGUAGGACAUCAGUAGUUUAGUGUAGGACAGCAGUGGUUUAGUGUAGGACAGCAGUAGUUUAGUGUAAGUUUCAGUUCAUUAACUGAAUUUUUUCAGUUACUUAACUGAAACUUUUUC
rnacentral:lncRNA from 1 species